AAAAAAUAAAUAAAAAAAUUGUCUGUUUUUUACAUGACUAUAUAUUAAUGAAAAAUAUUGGCUCAUAAAAUGAAAACAACUAGAUUUUAACCCGCGGUACACCGCGGGGACAAUUUAUUUUUUAAAGUUAGUAUAUAUAAAAAUUUGUAAAUUGUAUCUAUCUAUAAAAUAUUUUUAUUUUAUAGUUUACAAUUGUUAUUAAGUAACGUCCUGCCAAACUCGUCCCGCAAAACCCAUCCUGCAAAAAAAACUAUUUAUUUUAUUAAUGUUGAUCUUAUUUAUGAAUCAUUGUCUAAAUAUUUUAGUCGAUGCGGGAUGUUGAACCCACACAUUUUUCGCCAAUUGGUUAAUAUAUGUUCAUUUUUAAAAUUUUGAAUCACAAAAUAUGACGGAAUUUUUUUUGAGAUUUUUUAAACUAUAUAUUAUAUAAUGAUGUUAAAUUUUUUGAUAUAUUAAACUUUUUAUAAGUUUAAAUAUUAAUAAUGUUUUAUAAAGUUUAAAUAUAUAAAUAAUAAUAUUUAAAAA
rnacentral:sRNA from 1 species